UUGCUAUGAUGAUUUAUUUUGUAUUAUUGACUUGGUAUGUCUGUUUUGGAUUUGACCAAGACAUGAUCAAAGUUAAUCUUCUCUCUGAGCAG